GAUGAAGAACGUAGCGAAAUGCGAUACGUAAUGUGAAUUGCAGAUCUCUCAGUGAACCAUCGAAUCUUUGAACGCACAUUGCGCCCGCUGGUAUUCCGGCGGGCAUGCCUGUUCGAGCGUCAUUUCAACCCUCAAGCCCCCGGGUUUGGUGUUGGGGAUCGGCUCUGCCCUUCUGGGCGGUGCCGCCCCCGAAAUACAUUGGCGGUCUCGCUGCAGCCUCCAUUGCGUAGUAGCUAACACCUCGCAACUGGAACGCGGCGCGGCCAUGCCGUAAAACCCCAACUUCUGAAUGUUGACCUCGGAUCAGGUAGGAAUACCCGCUGAACUUAAGCAUAUCAAUAAGCGGAGGA
rnacentral:misc_RNA from 1 species